rnacentral:lncRNA from 1 species
GGGCGUAAUGUCGUUCAUUCUCCCUCUUAGGUGGAGCAUGUGGAUACAAAAGGUUUUGGAUUGGAGUAGCGCCCACUACCUCCUUUCCUUUAGAAACUCUAGAAUUCCUCUCUAUUUUCUUUUUUACUCCCUCCACCUUCACUUCAUCACUCAUAUUUUUUUCAACUGGCACACUUUCUUUAUUUUCUACUUCACCAUUUUUUUCAUUCUUUUCAACUUCUUCCUCACUCCACUCCCCAAUUUCAACAUCGAUG